GGGCGUGUCGGGGGAACGAACCGCCCACCGCGGCAACGCAGGGCGGGUUCGAUUCCCGCCACGCCCG
rnacentral:tRNA from 1 species